UCACUGUAAGGUGUCACUAUUUGCCGAUGA
rnacentral:sRNA from 1 species